rnacentral:rRNA from 2 species
GUGACUGCGUACCUUUUGUAUAAUGGGUCAGCGACUUAUAUUCUGUAGCAAGGUUAACCGAAUAGGGGAGCCGAAGGGAAACCGAGUCUUAACUGGGCGUUAAGUUGCAGGGUAUAGACCCGAAACCCGGUGAUCUAGCCAUGGGCAGGUUGAAGGUUGGGUAACACUAACUGGAGGACCGAACCGACUAAUGUUGAAAAAUUAGCGGAUGACUUGUGGCUGGGGGUGAAAGGCCAAUCAAACCGGGAGAUAGCUGGUUCUCCCCGAAAGCUAUUUAGGUAGCGCCUCGUGAAUUCAUCUCCGGGGGUAGAGCACUGUUUCGGCAAGGGGGUCAUCCCGACUUACCAACCCGAUGCAAACUGCGAAUACCGGAGAAUGUUAUCACGGGAGACACACGGCGGGUGCUAACGUCCGUCGUGAAGAGGGAAACAACCCAGACCGCCAGCUAAGGUCCCAAAGUCAUGGUUAAGUGGGAAACGAUGUGGGAAGGCCCAGACAGCCAGGAUGUUGGCUUAGAAGCAGCCAUCAUUUAAAGAAAGCGUAAUAGCUCACUGGUCGAGUCGGCCUGCGCGGAAGAUGUAACGGGGCUAAACCAUGCACCGAAGCUGCGGCAGCGACACUGUGUGUUGUUGGGUAGGGGAGCGUUCUGUAAGCCUGUGAAGGUGUACUGUGAGGUAUGCUGGAGGUAUCAGAAGUGCGAAUGCUGACAUAAGUAACGAUAAAGCGGGUGAAAAGCCCGCUCGCCGGAAGACCAAGGGUUCCUGUCCAACGUUAAUCGGGGCAGGGUGAGUCGACCCCUAAGGCGAGGCCGAAAGGCGUAGUCGAUGGGAAACAGGUUAAUAUUCCUGUACUUGGUGUUACUGCGAAGGGGGGACGGAGAAGGCUAUGUUGGCCGGGCGACGGUUGUCCCGGUUUAAGCGUGUAGGCUGGUUUUCCAGGCAAAUCCGGAAAAUCAAGGCUGAGGCGUGAUGACGAGGCACUACGGUGCUGAAGCAACAAAUGCCCUGCUUCCAGGAAAAGCCUCUAAGCAUCAGGUAACAUCAAAUCGUACCCCAAACCGACACAGGUGGUCAGGUAGAGAAUACCAAGGCGCUUGAGAGAACUCGGGUGAAGGAACUAGGCAAAAUGGUGCCGUAACUUCGGGAGAAGGCACGCUGAUAUGUAGGUGAAGUCCCUCGCGGAUGGAGCUGAAAUCAGUCGAAGAUACCAGCUGGCUGCAACUGUUUAUUAAAAACACAGCACUGUGCAAACACGAAAGUGGACGUAUACGGUGUGACGCCUGCCCGGUGCCGGAAGGUUAAUUGAUGGGGUCAGCGCAAGCGAAGCUCUUGAUCGAAGCCCCGGUAAACGGCGGCCGUAACUAUAACGGUCCUAAGGUAGCGAAAUUCCUUGUCGGGUAAGUUCCGACCUGCACGAAUGGCGUAAUGAUGGCCAGGCUGUCUCCACCCGAGACUCAGUGAAAUUGAACUCGCUGUGAAGAUGCAGUGUACCCGCGGCAAGACGGAAAGACCCCGUGAACCUUUACUAUAGCUUGACACUGAACAUUGAGCCUUGAUGUGUAGGAUAGGUGGGAGGCUUUGAAGUGUGGACGCCAGUCUGCAUGGAGCCGACCUUGAAAUACCACCCUUUAAUGUUUGAUGUUCUAACGUGGACCCGUGAUCCGGGUUGCGGACAGUGUCUGGUGGGUAGUUUGACUGGGGCGGUCUCCUCCUAAAGAGUAACGGAGGAGCACGAAGGUUGGCUAAUCCUGGUCGGACAUCAGGAGGUUAGUGCAAUGGCAUAAGCCAGCUUGACUGCGAGCGUGACGGCGCGAGCAGGUGCGAAAGCAGGUCAUAGUGAUCCGGUGGUUCUGAAUGGAAGGGCCAUCGCUCAACGGAUAAAAGGUACUCCGGGGAUAACAGGCUGAUACCGCCCAAGAGUUCAUAUCGACGGCGGUGUUUGGCACCUCGAUGUCGGCUCAUCACAUCCUGGGGCUGAAGUAGGUCCCAAGGGUAUGGCUGUUCGCCAUUUAAAGUGGUACGCGAGCUGGGUUUAGAACGUCGUGAGACAGUUCGGUCCCUAUCUGCCGUGGGCGCUGGAGAACUGAGGGGGGCUGCUCCUAGUACGAGAGGACCGGAGUGGACGCAUCACUGGUGUUCGGGUUGUCAUGCCAAUGGCACUGCCCGGUAGCUAAAUGCGGAAGAGAUAAGUGCUGAAAGCAUCUAAGCACGAAACUUGCCCCGAGAUGAGUUCUCCCUGACCCUUUAAGGGUCCUGAAGGAACGUUGAAGACGACGACGUUGAUAGGCCGGGUGUGUAAGCGCAGCGAUGCGUUGAGCUAACCGGUACUAAUGAACCGUGAGGCUUAACCUU